rnacentral:lncRNA from 1 species
CCUGUGACCAUGAAUGCAUUGAUCUGUGCACACAUGUGGCAUCCACAUCGCUCUGCCUACGUGGUUACCAAGGCAUGAAGAGCACAAUAGAGAGAGCCCUGACAGGUUGUGAGGGUACCUUACCCUCACAGCACCUCUGUCUGCCCAUAAUGGCCCAAGCAAUAGACUGGCCCUCAGAAUGUGCCUGAGGCAGUUUAAUUAAGGCCAUUUUGGCACUUGACUAUUCCAGGAGGUUGUAUGGAGGUGGGAAAUAGGGCUCUUUCAAUCUUCUCUUUAAUGCUGGCAGCAACCCUGGCUCAGGGCACAGCUGUACCCCCAUUUCCUUCAGAUGUCCCCUCACAGAAGGAUGC